GAUGUUCUUUAAAAUCGUUAAUGUAUCACAGGGCUUAUGUUUCAGUUUGUUUUCUGUUCUGUUUUAAACAGAAAAUAAAAGGAGUGUAAGCUCCUUUUCUCAUUUCAAAGUUGCUACCAGUGUAUGCAGUAAUUAGAACAAAGAAGAAACAUUCAGUAGAACAUUUUAUUGCCUAGUUGACAACAUUGCUUGAAUGCUGGUGGUUCCUAUCCCUUUGACACUACACAAUUUUCUAAUAUGUGUUAAUGCUACAUGAAAAACGCCCUGAUUCCUAGUGCCAAAGUUUCAACUUAAUGUAUAUACCUGAAAACCCAUGCAUUUGUGCUUUUUUUUUUUUUUUUUUUUUUUUUUUUUAUGGUGCUUGAAGUAAAACAGCCCAUACUCUGCAAGUCCAUCUCCGUUGUUCUUAGGCAUUCUAUCUUUGCUUAAAUUGUUGAAGGAUGGUGAUUUGUUUCAUGGUUUUUGUAUUUGAGUCUAAUGCACAUUCUAACAUGAUAGAGGCAAUGCAUUAUUGUGUAGCCAUGGUUUUCUGGAAAAGUUGAUAUUUUAGGAAUUGUAUUUCAGAUCUUAAAUAAAAUUUGUUUCCAAAUUUCAAAGCAAAAAAAAAAAAAAAAGAAUAUAAUUCUUGUCCUGCCCAACUCAUUGUAAGGCUCAGGUUUGAAACAGCAUAGCAAGAAGCCUGUGAGAGCUGUCACAGAAGCAGUGUCUACCUGGAAGAGGGACUGUUCGCACCUGUAGCCAUCUGGAGAUGGCUCAAAACUGAGCAGGACAAGGAUUUUGGAGGCAGAAGAAAUGUGGGCUUAUUACAGCAUAUGGGCUUAUUACCACAUCUUGCUCCAACUUUAUGGGAUUUAUUAAAAAUUGAAAUUGACCUGAGAAUGGAAGUUCCUCUUUUGCUGGACAACAAAAGAACUCCACAAUGGCUGAAAAAGUUCCACAUUUUUAAAGGCAACAGCAGAGAUCCUACAGAUAAGGACUUCAGUACAAAUGGACAAAGCUCUCUUGAGUUGUAAAGUCAUGAAAACAAAGCCAAAA